AGAACCGGGCGCUGAGAGAGGAGCUGCACGCCUGCGGGCUGAGUGCCGCUGUGGGGGGCAGCAGGAGGGAGAUGGGCAGCCUGCCCUGCCCCACAGAAGGAUCGGACGCAUCGCCCGCAGCCCCAAUGGAUCAGGCAGACACCACCAUGACGGUGCGGCGCUACUCCACCGCGGCAUCGGCACCCUCAAGGCCUCGCCAUGCCGGCAAGCAGCCCCC
rnacentral:lncRNA from 1 species